CUCGUAGGCGGCUUGUCACGUCGAUUGUGAAAGCCCGAGGCUUAACCUCGGGUCUGCAGUCGAUACGGGCUAGCUAGAGUGUGGUAGGGGAGAUCGGAAUUCCUGGUGUAGCGGUGAAAUGCGCAGAUAUCAGGAGGAACACCGGUGGCGAAGGCGGAUCUCUGGGCCAUUACUGACGCUGAGGAGCGAAAGCGUGGGGAGCGAACA
rnacentral:rRNA from 1 species